rnacentral:rRNA from 1 species
ACGGGAGGCAGCAGUAGGGAAUAUUGCACAAUGGGGGGAACCCUGAUGCAGCAACGCCACGUGUGGGAAGAAGCAUUUCGGUGUGUAAACCACUGUCGUGAGGGAAUAAGACCCGCCCCCGGGCGGGGUUGAAUGUACCUCGAAAGGAAGCACCGGCAAACUUCGUGCCAGCAGCCGCGGUAAUACGAGGGGCGCAAGCGUAGUUCGGAAUCACUGGGCGUAAAGGGAGCGUAGGCGGAAAAGCAAGCAGUCUGUACAAUCCCGGGGCCUAACCCCGGAUCUGCAGACUGGACUGUUUUUCUUGGAUAGUUCAGGGGCUGGCGGAAUUCCUGGUGUAGCGGUGGAAUGCGUAGAGAUCAGGAAGAACACCGAUGGCGAAGGCAGCCAGCUGGGGACUUAUCGACGCUGAGGCUCGAAAGUGCGGGUAGCAAACAGGAUUAGAUACCCUGGUA